GAUGAACGCUGGCGGCGUGCCUAAUACAUGCAAGUCGAGCGAACAGACGAGGAGCUUGCUCCUUUGAUGUUAGCGGCGGACGGGUGAGUAACACGUAGGUAACCUACCUAUAAGACUGGGAUAACUUCGGGAAACCGGAGCUAAUACCGGAUAAUAUUUCGAACCGCAUGGUUCGAUAGUGAAAGAUGGCUUUGCUAUCACUUAUAGAUGGACCUGCGCCGUAUUAGCUAGUUGGUAAGGUAACGGCUUACCAAGGCAACGAUACGUAGCCGACCAGAGAGGGUGAUCGGCCACAAUGGAACUGAGACACGGUCCAGACUCCUACGGGAGGCAGCAGUAGGGAAUCUUCCGCAAUGGGCGAAAGCCUGACGGAGCAACGCCGCGUGAGUGAUGAAGGUCUUCGGAUCGUAAAACUCUGUUAUUAGGGAAGAACAAACGUGUAAGUAACUGUGCACGUCUUGACGGUACCUAAUCAGAAAGCCACGGCUAACUACGUGCCAGCCGCCGCAGUAAGAC
rnacentral:rRNA from 1 species